CCAUUCUUAAUUUCGAGAAAGUACAUCUUUUCUCUACAAAAGCUUUAUUUUAAAAGUUUUUUUUUUCAGCAAAUUUUCAUUACAAUAGAAAAAUUCGAUGGCGUCUCUGGAAGGGAGUCCAAAUUCGGAAAGUGAAAAUCAAAAUCAAUUUCCAAAUUCCAAUGUCAAAAAUAGUUCUCUCUCGAUGGAUCAGGUUCAAAUUAGCGAAGAAGAAAAUGAGAUCGAAAUGGCCGAGACAAACAUUUUGAAUUCCUCGAAUCAGGAACCUGAUACUUCGGGCGAUUGGUACGGGGAUAACAAGUUUAACUUGACUUGUAUUCCAAAUGAAAAUGAAGAGGCGAAAACUACUUGGAAACGUAGAAAUCUUUAUAGCAUGCCUAAUUCGAAGUUUCAAGCCUAUUGGAAAGAUCGAUUUCCGGAUUCGAUUAUAGGAGAACUUCAUUCAGAAAGUUCAGAUCUCAAAACAGGAGAACCAAAUUUGCUCUCGAAUUUUAGAGAUUUCAUUGCCACUUAUCAAGAAUCUAAUGGCACACCUCCAACUGAAUUUUCUUUUAUAUCUCUAAUUAAAGUCUUGGCUGAAGCGAUUGGAAAAUCUUUACUUGCAUUGAUUUACAUUAUUGUAAACAUGGCUCCACUUAUUGAGAUUUUUUUGUACAUACUGAGAUUUAUUCUGGACAAGUUGAUCAGCAUUCGAGCCGCAGAAGAUUAUCAACAAAUGAUUAUAAAAUCAGUUAUUUUUGUGAUACAGUCGCUCUGCAUUUAUAUUUGUCUACUUUUCAUUUUUGGGUUUAUUCUUAUGCCAAUUGUACGACUGGCCUUUGAUAUCAUGGCCAGAGUUUUUUUGUUUAAUCGAUGAAAUACAGAAAUAGAAUCCAGGAGAAUACUUUAUUUCUUAAAGAUUUUAUUCUUAGAGAAAUCACAUUUACCUUAAAAUUUGGAAAGAGCAGUGGAAUGGUGCAGAAUACUAAAACUCCUGAAUCCAGCCGGUUACAAACAGAAGAGUUUGGAUGCCCUCCAUUAAAUGUCUCAUAAAAACAUAUAGAACUUCUAUAAGUAUCUAAUUGUUCGUAAUGGUUCCUAUUAGUAGUACCACUUAGAGAAAAAUUGCCACGUAGAAAAUCUACAGGAUUUUCAUGCCGACACAUUAAGUCCCGAAGCAUCUACAUGGAUUUAUAUGUAUGCUCCGAAUCUGUCAUCUACAUGGAAUUACAAAGAAGAUUUGAAGUGGUUACUAUAUGGAUAUACUAAUCGGAUUUUUUUAACAUUGUGCGAAUUCCCUACUUCUUUAUGGAUUUAUAUAUACUGUCCUAACAUGUAAUCUAUAUGUAAUUGCAAAUAGGAUUUAAAAUGUUUUCUAUAUGGAUUUUAUAAGUGCACACUAAUAGACAAAUCUGUACGAGGUUUAAUAUACACGUGUGUGAAGCAAAUAUGCACUACCGCUACUGAUAUGUAACAUGCAUUGGUG